rnacentral:rRNA from 1 species
AUUGAACGCUGGCGGCAUGCUUUACACAUGCAAGUCGAACGGUAACAGGCCGCAAGGUGCUGACGAGUGGCGAACGGGUGAGUAAUGCAUCGGAACGUGCCCAGUCGUGGGGGAUAACGCAGCGAAAGCUGUGCUAAUACCGCAUACGAUCUGUGGAUGAAAGCGGGGGACCGAAAGGCCUCGCGCGAUUGGAGCGGCCGAUGUCAGAUUAGGUAGUUGGUGGGGUAAAGGCUCACCAAGCCAACGAUCUGUAGCUGGUCUGAGAGGACGACCAGCCACACUGGGACUGAGACACGGCCCAGACUCCUACGGGAGGCAGCAGUGGGGAAUUUUGGACAAUGGGCGCAAGCCUGAUCCAGCAAUGCCGCGUGCAGGAAGAAGGCCUUCGGGUUGUAAACUGCUUUUGUACGGAGCGAAAAGGCUCUCUCUAAUACAGGGGGCUCAUGACGGUACCGUAAGAAUAAGCACCGGCUAACUACGUGCCAGCCGCCGCCGUAA